rnacentral:rRNA from 1 species
GAUGAACGCUGGCGGCGUGCCUAAUACAUGCAAGUCGAGCGAACAGACGAGGAGCUUGCUCCUCUGACGUUAGCGGCGGACGGGUGAGUAACACGUGGAUAACCUACCUAUAAGACUGGGAUAACUUCGGGAAACCGGAGCUAAUACCGGAUAAUAUAUUGAACCGCAUGGUUCAAUAGUGAAAGACGGUUUUGCUGUCACUUAUAGAUGGAUCCGCGCCGCAUUAGCUAGUUGGUAAGGUAACGGCUUACCAAGGCAACGUUGCGUAGCCGACCUGAGAGGGUGAUCGGCCACACUGGAACUGAGACACGGUCCAGACUCCUACGGGAGGCAGCAGUAGGGAAUCUUCCGCAAUGGGCGAAAGCCUGACGGAGCAACGCCGCGUGAGUGAUGAAGGUCUUCGGAUCGUAAAACUCUGUUAUUAGGGAAGAACAAAUGUGUAAGUAACUAUGCACGUCUUGACGGUACCUACUCAGAAAGCCACGGCUAACUACGUG